rnacentral:rRNA from 1 species
UACGUAGGGGGCAAGCGUUGUCCGGAAUCAUUGGGCGUAAAGCGCGUGUAGGCGGGCCGGCACGUCCGGUGCUGAAAGCCCCCGGCUCAACCGGGGAAGUGGCACGGAUACGACCGGCCUCGAGGGGGGUAGGGGGACCUGGAACUUCCGGUGGAGCGGUGAAAUGCGUUGAGAUCGGAAGGAACGCCCGUGGCGAAAGCGAGGUCCUGGGCCCUUACUGCCGCUGAGACGCGAAAGCCAGGGGAGCGAACGGG